UACGAAGGGGGCGAGCGUUGUUCGGAUUUACUGGGCGUAAAGGGCGCGCAGGCGGCCAUUCAAGUCAGGCGUGAAAGCCCCGGGCUUAACCUGGGAGGUGCGUCUGGGACUGGGUGGCUAGAGAUCGGGAGAGGAGAGUGGAAUUCCCAGUGUAGAGGUGAAAUUCGUAGAUAUUAGGAAGAACACCAGUGGCGAAGGCGGCUCACUGGCCCGGAACUGACGCUCAUGAGCGAAAGCGUGGGGAGCAAACAGG
rnacentral:rRNA from 1 species